CAGUAGCCGCGGUAAUACAGAGGGUGCGAUCGUUAAUCGGAUUUACUGGGCGUAAAGCGUGCGUAGGCGGCUUCUUAAGUCGGAUGUGAAAUCCCUGAGCUUAACUUAGGAAUUGCAUUCGAUACUGGGAAGCUAGAGUAUGGGAGAGGAUGGUAGAAUUCCAGGUGUAGCGGUGAAAUGCGUAGAGAUCUGGAGGAAUACCGAUGGCGAAGGCAGCCAUCUGGCCUAAUACUGACGCUGAGGUACGAAAGCAUGGGGAGCAAACAGGAUUAGAUACCCGAGUAGUCCCUGUCUCUUAUAC
rnacentral:rRNA from 1 species